GAUACUUACAACUGCAGCGAUGAUUACUUCUGUAUGCAAACGAUUCUUUUCGUACUUGCUAACUCUUUGCUCAUCCAAAUACCCUUCUCUUCUCCUCUCCUAAUGUGAUCUUAAUUUUUCUCCCUCUUACUCAAUGUUUACCAAAUACCGAUUCACUCCGAAACCUAGCGCUCCCACCAAACACCUCACUAUAAUGAUGGUUCA